rnacentral:rRNA from 1 species
AAACCAACAGGGAUUGCCUUAGUAACGGCGAGUGAAGCGGCAAGAGCUCAAAUUUGGAAUCGCGCAAGCGAGUUGUAAUUUGAAGAGGUGUGCCUGGAGACAGCCGGUGCCGAAGUUCCUUGGAACAGGACGUCGCAGAGGGUGAGAAUCCCGUGCGGCGCUUGGCGCGUCUCCGUUUAGGCAUGUUUCGACGAGUCGAGUUGUUUGGGAAUGCAGCUCUAAGUGGGUGGUAAAUUCCAUCUAAAGCUAAAUAUUGGCGAGAGACCGAUAGCGAACAAGUACAGUGAUGGAAAGAUGAAAAGCACUUUGAAAAGAGAGUGAAAAAGUACGUGAAAUUGUUGAAAGGGAAGGGCUUGGCCUCAGACUCGGGUGCUCUUCGGGGUGCUCGGGCCAGCAUCGGUUUCUGUGGCGGGACAAUUGCGGUGGAAUGUAGCUCAGCUUCGGGUGAGUGUUAUAGCCACUGUGGAUGCCGCCUGCGGAGACCGAGGACUGCGCGAAAGCGAGGAUGCUGGCGUAAUGAUGUUAAGCCGC